UAACUUUAACAAACUAUUUAUUCUUUUUCAUGGAAAGGGUUUUGAAGUUGUGGCGUGUGCGCUACAAACAAAAUUGAAUUGGGAGAUGGAGAUUGGAAUCGCCUUCGAAGCACCCCGCUUAAACCACUGCUAAAUCCUUACUUCCCGACGGAUGAUUUCUCUGCAAACGCUUUGACAAGCAAUCCCAGUCGAUUGUUUUCAACUCUCAAUCGCGGAAUCCUGGUGGGUUUUUAUUUUGAUUUUGAUUUUGAUUUUGAUUUUGAUCUUGAUCACUGCAAGAUGCCUUCGUCUUCUCUGUUUUUCGGAGUCCCGGAAAUGGUUGUCAAGAAUCGUUUUCUGGGUUUCCUUAUUUGGCAGUCCAUUCCUUCAACCUUCGUCUUUUUCCUCUUCAAAAUCUUCGUUUCAGCCAUUUUCUCUGUUUCUGGUAGCAAUUCCUCGAGUGGAACUAGCAAUCCAUCAGCCCCUUUUGCGUCAAUGUUCACUGGAUUCUUCACUUUUCUUACAUUUCAUCUCUCUCAACUCCUCUUCUCUGCAUCUCUCUCUCUCCUUGCUUCGCCCCAGCUCGAGCGCCCUGCCGCGCCGCUUGAGCUCACUUUUGGACUCGUUCGGUUUCUCGUAGUUUCAGGCGGUGACAAUGCUUCAUCGACGUCGGCGUUCAAUGACUUUCGCCGUCGUGCUACGGUUUCGUUAUAUUUGCUUCUGUUUGUAGUGGCAACUGCGAUUUCAGGUUCCUUGGCGGCCGUCUCUAUAUGUUGGGGAAAAUCGGAUGGUCUCAGAAGUGCUUGGCAUACGGGUCUUUCGAUGGGUCUGAUUUAUGGCGCUUUCUACGUUUACAGCAAAAGAUGGGUUCUAACGUUCCCAAUCAUACAGCGUCCCCCAUUUUUCAGCUUCAAGAUGGGUUUUCCUGCAGCUACCAGAUUGGCUUCCAAACUUUCUGCUGCAGCUUUCCUAUUUUCAGCUGUAUUAAUGGUGCUUUUGCCUGAUCAAUUUAAGAGAAAUGUUACAGUCAGGAAGUUCAUAGCUAACCAAGCCAUUAUUUUCGUUGGGAGCUUUGCAAUAUUUCUUUCUUGGGAAUUGACUCAACACUUGCAUCAGGUCCUGCAUACCAAGAGGUAUGCGUUUGCACCUCCAAAGGGAUCUGCAGCAGCAGAAACAAAUCCCAGUGAGUACCUCUUUGCAGCUUUAGAGGACAGCAAUUCAGGGUCUCUUUUGCAAUAUCUUGCAUUUCUAGAUCUCUGCAUGGUUUGUGAGAACAAUGUGGAUAUAUGGAGGAGAGCUGCAUUUUUUGAAGAAACAGGUGAGACAUAUAAGCGAAUUAUAUCCAUUUCCUUGAAGCCUUUGGAGCAAUUUGCACUGAACUUAGGCCAAGGUUUGGAAGGUGCUGUGGACAUUACCUCCCAACUAUCGCCAAAGGACUCUCACUUCGACGUAAAACAAUUCGAAACUCUUAAAAACUUUCAGUUGUAUGCAUGGUGUGCUCGAACGGUAUCUAUGUUGACUGCACGCUCACAUGCAGAAGAUCGAUUCGGUGUUGCUCAACUCUCUGGUAGUAAUGCAACUGUUAUGUCAACACUGUUGUCUUGCCUGCUUGCUGUUGAAGUGUUGAUGGGUAAGAAAACGACUAUACAGUCUUCAAACGGUUUAUUCGGCCUGUCUAGUAUUAAAUGGGCAACGUCAAGUAUUGGAAGAGUAGAUGCUUCGGUUGGUAAAAGGAAAAGUGGUCCGCUACAUUCGAAGGCAUAUGCUAUUGCGAACGUAUUGAGGGUGUCGAUCUAUGUCGUCGUUUCUGCAUUCCAUAACGAGAUGGUGAAUAGUGCCAAGUCCGGUGUUCUUGAGAAAGAUUGGAUCACUGGUGAAAAGCCCCUUUAUGGUACUCGUGAGUUGCUUCUUCAGAAAUUGCAUAUUUUCUUGGACUUUCAAGCUUAGAUAGAAUGGCGAUUUCAUUUUCCCCGUCUCCGCCCCGUUCGUCGAAUUAUAGCGAAUCACUUGUGAGGCAGUUUUGUUGUCUUUGAUUCUGAAGAGUUAACUAAGCUGCCUGUAAACUUCUAAGAAGAAAGUGUCUUCCAGAUUGCAUUUUUGCGCCACAUUUUCCAGCAGACCAGCUUCAGAAAUUCC